CUGGCUCAGGAUGAACGCUAGCUACAGGCUUAACACAUGCAAGUCGAGGGGCAGCAUGAUCUUAGCUUGCUAAGAUUGAUGGCGACCGGCGCACGGGUGAGUAACGCGUAUCCAACCUUCCCCUUAGUAGGGCAUAGCCCGGUGAAAAUCGGAUUAAUACCCUAUGUUGUGUCAUGAGGACAUCUGAAUAACACUAAAGAUUUAUCGCUAAGGGAUGGGGAUGCGUCCGAUUAGGUAGUCGGCGGGGUAACGGCCCACCGAGCCCUCGAUCGGUAGGGGUUCUGAGAGGAAGGUCCCCCACACUGGUGCUGAGACACGGACCAGACUCCUACGGGAGGCAGCAGUGAGGAAUAUUGGUCAAUGGGCGUAAGCCUGAACCAGCCAAAAGUAGCGUGCAGGAUGACGGCCCUAUGGGUUGUAAACUGCUUUUAUACGGGGAUAAAGGGAGGGACGUGUCCCUUAUUGUAGGUACCGUAUGAAUAAGGACCGGCUAAUUCCGUGCCAGCCGCCGC
rnacentral:rRNA from 1 species